GCAUGAAACUACUGUAAGUCUCUCUGGAUAAGAGCGUCUGCUAAAUGACUAAAA
rfam:Salmo salar isolate Sally breed double haploid chromosome ssa08, whole genome shotgun sequence.